CAGCCUUGUCCGCAUGGAGCGCAGGGAGGCAGCUGGCGCCGGGCGGGGACCCCCUGCGUCCCAGGAACGGCAGCAGUGCAGGACUGCGGAAAGGAGAUCCCACUGCACCAGCAAGGGAGGAGCCUGGAACUUCAGUUUCUAUCUCUUCAUCUACUUCAACAUCCUCAUCCUGGGAAAGACGAUUUCGUAGUAUGAAAUGUGAACCA